AAACACAGGACUCAUGUGAGCUUGCUGAGAAAACUCUGCACACCCCCUACACACCUGUACUUAAUAUGACAUGACCCUCAGAGAUACUAAAACACCCUCUGUUAAGCAGAAAACAAACUUUUAAAGUUAGGAAAGUAGCAACGCGGGAAUCUGGGUAGGAGGUGCCCUGGGUUGUAAACACCCCAGUCAGAGAACAUAACAAGCAAUUCAGAGCAACAUAUAAGUCCCUAUGGGGCUCCAACUUGGACUGCUUAAGUCCCAAGACCACAUCCCGGUGUCUGGGAGCUAAUGUUAAAAGGACUUACCGGCUGGUAGCUCCGUUGCCUCCCGCCUGCCCGCGCUCGGUCCUACAAUCUGUCUCCAGCUCCUCCUUUCCCCCCUCGGCGGAACGGAUACUUUCCUCCCGUCCCAACACUGCUAGGCCGAGGCAAGAGGAUCGCCUGAGCCCAGGAAUUUGAGACCAGCCUGGGCAACAUGGCGAAAACUCAGCUCUACAAAAAAUAUAAAAUUAGCCGGGCAUGGUGGCCUGCACCUGUAGUAGCUAUUCGGGGGGCUAAGUGGGAAGAUCGCUUGAGCCCAGGAGGUUGAGGUUG
rnacentral:lncRNA from 1 species